UUUUUAUUUUGCCAACAUUGAUCUGCGAGACUUAUACACCCUUUAUAGGAAAAAUAAACUUAACACAAUAAACAUAUAAGGUACACGAUGUCCAAUUUUACUAGCUGCCAUACUUUAACGUGGAUCAUCAAGAACACAUAAUAGGAGAAACAUAUUAAAUGCACCUAAAGAUAGUAUAAGUUUCAACAAUAAUUGAGUCAUAUUCCUGUCUCUGCAAUAUUUAUAGCUUCUAUUCAUUUCUUUUAAAAAAAUUAUAGAAAUACUACUCAUAAAAUAACAAAACCUAUAAUUGAUUUAACAAGGCAGUGAGGCAGCAACGAUACCAUCAGGAAUAUCAACUGACCUUCUAUCUGUAAAGAAAGAGAAAAGUAAGUUGUCAUUUUUUUAUAAAGAAAAAACUUAUGUGAUAAACUAACUAAUUUGGUUCUCUUACGAAUUAUGAACCUCAAUUAUUCAUCAACAUUAGCAAUAAUGGUUGGUGCUGAAUUCAAACAAUCUGCAAAAAGUAAAAUAAAUAAAAUUAACUUAAUAAAUAUUGUAAUCUUUCACAUUAAUAAAGAAAAUAAUAAAAUUAAUAAAGAAAAUUUUAUUACCUUCUUCAAUCUCUUCAAGACUUUCAAUAUUACCCAGCGAUUCAUGUAAAUUAAUAGGAGUAGAACGCAACCAAUUUUGCGCACAUAUAAGAGCUUCUACAGUUUUAGGAGUUAAAGAACUCCUAAAUGAAUCAAUUACACGACCACUAGUACUAAAAGCUUGUUCACUCGAUACGGUAGACACUGGAAUGGCUAGAACAUCCUUGGCCAACCUUGAGAGAACAGGAAAUUUAGUUUUAUUUCCUUUUCACCAAGCCAAUAGAUCAAAUUCAAUUUUUUUUAUCAAUCAACUCAUCAUUCAAGUAUUUGGCUACCUCCGAUGCAUUCUCUGUUUUCUUUUGUGAUUCUAUGCGCUUUGCAAAUUGAGAGUCAAGAAAGUCCAAACUUUUAUCACAUUCAUCAAUAUCCAUGCCAUGAGAAACUUCAUUAGAAGUUAAAUCUUUAAAUUUCUCUUGUUCAAAUGUAUACAAUCUCUUAUACUCAUGAUACAACUCAUCCAGACACUCUGUUACACUAGCAAUUCUUGAUUUUAUUAAGAUAUUAUCAUGAUCAUACAUUUCACCAAAGCAAAACUCAACAUAUUCUAACUUGAAACGUGGAUCCAACACAAUAGCAACAAACAACAAAUAAUUGAUCUUACUAUUAAAAGACCAAUAUUUAUCGAAUUUCUCCAUCAUUUUUAGUGACAUGCUUCUCAUGCCAUCAUCCUUAUUAAGGGAAAGAGAUCCAAUUGCAGAAUAAACAGCAACCAAUUCACGAAAAAAAGUGUUAGAAGUAGUGUACAAUGAGCCAGAAAACUUCAAUGUCACAUUAUAGAAUAACUUUAAGAACUUUGCAAAGCAUCUUGCAGCUUGAAAAUCUUCAUGCUUAGGAGGGCCAAUGAUUUUCUUAUCUCUUUUUUUCUUAUUCACGAACUUCUUCCUCCCAUCUCUCAAUUCUUCACAAAAAUUACUAACAUCAUUCAUAUUGAAAAAUUCAAUAAUUUUUUGACUUUUUUCUUUAUUAUUUUUUGUCUCUUUUUUUCAUCUCCGGCUCCAUUAUAACCUCCAUCAAAGUACUUCUUAUAGUUUGGAUCAUCCAAUUCCAUCCUUACAAAAGUUUUCUCAAAUUUCUCAACAUGUUCCAACAUUUAUAUGUGGAAUUCCAUCUAGUAUCAACAUCAAGACAAACAAGAUGAUUCCAUGAAAUCUUCUCUUUCUCAACACAUUUUUUGAACAAAUAUACUUGGCAGGAGAGGAUCGUACAUACCUUAUUGCAUUUCGAAUUCUAAUAAUAGCUUUAUCUUGUUCUGCAAAACCUUCUUUUACAAUUAAAUUAACAAUGUGAGCUGCACAUCUGACAUGCAUGUAUUUGUUGUCUAAAAUUGAAUCUUUCCACUUAACACACUUCAUCAAAUAAUCAAGACAUAUAUCAUUAGAACUUGCAUUAUCUACUGUUACUAUAAGAACACUUUCAAUUCCCCAAUUAAUUAAACAUUCCUCAAUAGAACUAGCAAUAAUCCUUCCCGCAUGGUUCUCAAUAAGCUGAAAGUUUAAAAUUUUCUUUUGAUAAAACCAAUCAUCAUCAAUCCAAUAUGUUGUGAGACACAUAUAAUUAAGGUUUUGAAUUGAUAUCCAAGUAUCUGUGGUAAGGCACACACGAUGAUUUUUAAUUAUUGUUUUCAAAAUGGACUUCUCUUUCAUAUAAAGCUCUAGACAAUCUUUUACAACUGUAUUCCUUGAAGGGAUUAUAAAUCUUGGUUCAAGUACUCUAUUAUAUCUCUUAAAACCCUCCCCUUCUACAAUCUUAAAUGGCAAUUCAUCGAUAAUAACCAUGGCAGCAAGGACAUUUCUAAUUUCCUCUAUAUUAAGAGGCCUUAGUUUACCAACUUUUGUUUUAUCACCUUCCUCGACUUUGAUGGUAAAAUCAGUUAUAGAUUUUUGAUUUUUUUCUCUUCUAAAAGGAUAUAAUUUACACCUAUCCAGAUGGUUCCACAUGCCUGAAGUGACAUUUCGCCCUGAAGCGGCAAUUUCUUUUUUAUAAUAAUUACAUGUAGCCUUAACUGGUUCGCUUCCUUCAAUUCUAGUAAAAUGAUGCCAAGCUUCUGACCCAUGAUCACUAUUUUUCUUUUGAGGGACUUUUUGAUUGGUCAUUUUUCGCUUUUGAGGUGGUCGGGGAGGAUUACCUGCUUUAGAACCUGUUGUACUAUUUUCUGCAUUGCCACGAUCAGAGAUAUUCUGUUGAAGAGAUUGCUCCAUAAAUUCAACCU
rnacentral:lncRNA from 1 species